rnacentral:rRNA from 1 species
AUUGAACGCUGGCGGCAUGCCUUACACAUGCAAGUCGAACGGCAGCACGGGAGCAAUCCUGGUGGCGAGUGGCGAACGGGUGAGUAAUAUAUCGGAACGUGCCCAGUCGUGGGGGAUAACGUAGCGAAAGCUACGCUAAUACCGCAUACGAUCUACGGAUGAAAGCGGGGGAUCGCAAGACCUCGCGCGAUUGGAGCGGCCGAUAUCAGAUUAGUUAGUUGGUGGGGUAAAAGCUCACCAAGGCGACGAUCUGUAGCUGGUCUGAGAGGACGACCAGCCACACUGGAACUGAGACACGGUCCAGACUCCUACGGGAGGCAGCAGUGGGGAAUUUUGGACAAUGGGCGCAAGCCUGAUCCAGCAAUGCCGCGUGCAGGAUGAAGGCCUUCGGGUUGUAAACUGCUUUUGUACGGUACGAAACGGUGAGCUCUAAUAAAGCUUGCUAAUGACGGUACCGUAAGAAUAAGCACCGGCUAACUACGUGCC